GACGGGGGGGGCAAGUGUUCUUCGGAAUGACUGGGCGUAAAGGGCACGUAGGCGGUGAAUCGGGUUGAAAGUGAAAGUCGCCAAAAAGUGGCGGAAUGCUCUCGAAACCAAUUCACUUGAGUGAGACAGAGGAGAGUGGAAUUUCGUGUGUAGGGGUGAAAUCCGUAAAUAUACGAAGGAACGCCAAAAGCGAAGGCAGCUCGCUGGGACGGUACUGACGCUAAGGCGCGAAAGCGUGGGGAGCGAACAGG
rnacentral:rRNA from 1 species